UACGUAGGGACCAAGCGUUGUUCGGAUUUACUGGGCGUAAAGCGCGCGUAGGUGGUUCGUUAAGUUGGAUGUGAAAUCCCCGGGCUCAACCUGGGAACUGCAUUCAAAACUGUCGAGCUAGAGUAUGGUAGAGGGUGGUGGAAUUUCCUGUGUAGCGGUGAAAUGCGUAGAUAUAGGAAGGAACACCAGUGGCGAAGGCGACCACCUGGACUGAUACUGACACUGAGGUGCGAAAGCGUGGGGAGCAAACAGG
rnacentral:rRNA from 1 species